rnacentral:rRNA from 1 species
GACGAACGCUGGCGGCGUGCCUAAUACAUGCAAGUCGACCUUAGUGGCGAACGGGUGAGUAACACGUGGGUACCCUGCCCAUCAGAAGGGGAUAACACUUGGAAACAGGUGCUAAUACCGUAUACUUCUGGAUGGACCCGCGGUGCAUUAGCUAGUGGGUGGGGUAACGGCUCGCCAAGGCCACGAUGCAUAGCCGACCUGAGAGGGUGAUAGGCCACAUUGGGACGGAGAGACGGCCCAGACUCCUACGGGAGGCAGCAGUAGGGAAUGUUCGGCAAGGGACGAAAGGCUGACCGAGCAAAGCCGCGUGAGUGAAGAAGGUUUUCGGAUCGUAAAACUAUGGUGUUAGAGAAGAGGUAUCGAACGAGAAAGCACCGGCUAACUACGUGCCAGCAGCCGCGGUAAUUC